rnacentral:rRNA from 1 species
AGCGAACGCUGGCGGCAGGCCUAACACAUGCAAGUCGAACGAACCUUUCGGGGUUAGUGGCGGACGGGUGAGUAACACGUGGGAACGUGCCUUUAGGUUCGGAAUAACCCAGGGAAACUUGUGCUAAUACCGAAUGUGCCCUUCGGGGGAAAGAUUAAUCGCCUUUAGAGCGGCCCGCGUCUGAUUAGCUAGUUGGUUGAGGUAAUGGCUCACCAAGGCGACGAUCAGUAGCUGGUCUGAGAGGAUGAUCAGCCACAUUGGGACUGAGACACGGCCCAAACUCCUACGGGAGGCAGCAGUGGGGAAUCUUGCGCAAUGGGCGAAAGCCUGACGCAGCCAUGCCGCGUGAAUGAUGAAGGUCUUAGGAUUGUAAAAUUCUUUCACCGGGGACGAUAAUGACGGUACCCGGAGAAGAAGCCCCGGCUAACUUCGUG